GGACUACCGGGGUAUCUAAUCCCGUUCGCUCCCCUAGCUUUCGCGCCUCAGCGUCAGUCACAGGCCAGGACGCCGCCUUCGCCACUGGUGUUCCUCCGGGUCUCUACGCAUUUCACCGCUACUCCCGGAGUUCCACGUCCCUCUCCUGCACUCAGAUAGCGCGGCCGUUACCACUGACCCUCCCCAGUUGAGCCGGGGGCUUUCACAGCGGUCGCACCGCACCGCCUACGCGCGCUUUACGCCCAGUAAUUCCGGACAACGCUCGCCUCCUACGUAUUACCGCGGCUGCUGGCAC
rnacentral:rRNA from 1 species